rnacentral:rRNA from 2 species
GAGUGGCGAACUGGUGAGUAACACGUGGGAAACCUGCCCAGAAGCGGGGGAUAACACCUGGAAACAGAUGCUAAUACCGCAUAACAACUUGGACCGCAUGGUCCGAGUUUGAAAGAUGGCUUCGGCUAUCACUUUUGGAUGGUCCCGCGGCGUAUUAGCUAGAUGGUGGGGUAACGGCUCACCAUGGCAAUGAUACGUAGCCGACCUGAGAGGGUAAUCGGCCACAUUGGGACUGAGACACGGCCCAAACUCCUACGGGAGGCAGCAGUAGGGAAUCUUCCACAAUGGACGAAAGUCUGAUGGAGCAACGCCGCGUGAGUGAAGAAGGGUUUCGGCUCGUAAAACUCUGUUGUUAAAGAAGAACAUAUCUGAGAGUAACUGUUCAGGUAUUGACGGUAUUUAACCAGAAAGCCACGGCUAACUACGUGCCAGCAGCCGCGGUAAUACGUAGGUGGCAAGCGUUGUCCGGAUUUAUUGGGCGUAAAGCGAGCGCAGGCGGUUUUUUAAGUCUGAUGUGAAAGCCUUCGGCUCAACCGAAGAAGUGCAUCGGAAACUGGGAAACUUGAGUGCAGAAGAGGACAGUGGAACUCCAUGUGUAGCGGUGAAAUGCGUAGAUAUAUGGAAGAACACCAGUGGCGAAGGCGGCUGUCUGGUCUGUAACUGACGCUGAGGCUCGAAAGUAUGGGUAGCAAACAGGAUUAGAUACCCUGGUAGUCCAUACCGUAAACGAUGAAUGCUAAGUGUUGGAGGGUUUCCGCCCUUCAGUGCUGCAGCUAACGCAUUAAGCAUUCCGCCUGGGGAGUACGGCCGCAAGGCUGAAACUCAAAGGAAUUGACGGGGGCCCGCACAAGCGGUGGAGCAUGUGGUUUAAUUCGAAGCUACGCGAAGAACCUUACCAGGUCUUGACAUACUAUGCAAAUCUAAGAGAUUAGACGUUCCCUUCGGGGACAUGGAUACAGGUGGUGCAUGGUUGUCGUCAGCUCGUGUCGUGAGAUGUUGGGUUAAGUCCCGCAACGAGCGCAACCCUUAUUAUCAGUUGCCAGCAUUAAGUUGGGCACUCUGGUGAGACUGCCGGUGACAAACCGGAGGAAGGUGGGGAUGACGUCAAAUCAUCAUGCCCCUUAUGACCUGGGCUACACACGUGCUACAAUGGAUGGUACAACGAGUUGCGAACUCGCGAGAGUAAGCUAAUCUCUUAAAGCCAUUCUCAGUUCGGAUUGUAGGCUGCAACUCGCCUACAUGAAGUCGGAAUCGCUAGUAAUCGCGGAUCAGCAUGCCGCGGUGAAUACGUUCCCGGGCCUUGUACACACCGCCCGUCACACCAUGAGAGUUUGUAACACCCAAAGUCGGUGG